rnacentral:rRNA from 1 species
GAUGAACGCUGGCGGCAUGCCUAAUACAUGCAAGUCGAACGAGAGGAAGGAAAGCUUGCUUUUCUGAAUCUAGUGGCGAACGGGUGAGUAACACGUAGGUAACCUGCCCAUGUGCCCGGGAUAACUUCUGGAAACGGAUGCUAAAACCGGAUAGGUAGCAGACAAGCAUUUGACUGCUAUUAAAGUGGCUAAGGCCAUGAACAUGGAUGGACCUGCGGUGCAUUAGCUAGUUGGUGAGGUAACGGCCCACCAAGGCGACGAUGCAUAGCCGGCCUGAGAGGGCGGACGGCCACAUUGGGACUGGGAAACGGCCCAAACUCCGACGGGAGGCAGCAGUAGGGAAUUUUCGUCAAUGGGGGGAACCCUGAACGAGCAAUGCCGCGUGAGUGAGGAAGGUCUUCGGAUCGUAAAGCUCUGUUGUAAGAGGAAAACGACAUUCAUAGGGAAUGAUGAGUGAGUGAUGGUAUCUUACCAGAAAGUCACGGCUAACUACGUGCCAGCAGCCGCCGUAU